GCGUCUGUGUGUAUGUGAAAAGAAUGUCAAGUCUCAGUAGGUCUCUGUCAGUUCUCUGGCGUCUGUAAGAGCAGUGGAGACAUUUCACAAACUCACAAUCAGAGAGUCUUUUGGCUCUCCUCCAAACUCAAGCUGCUGCGCCAGGAAUGUGACUUUUAUUCUUCCCAUCCUCAGAAAAAGUGUGAAACGCACACCAACACACACACACACACACACACACACACACACACACACACAAAAUCAAAACCCAAGAGCAGUAACAAAUCAUCCUGUCAGAAGCACUUCAUGAAGAGUGUGACGCUUUGAAGGUGGAGAGGACGAGAUGAUCUUUUCUUUUCUUUUCUUUUCUUGCUGUCAGUAAUGGGGGGAGCCGUGUGCUCAGUGGUGGUCGUAAGUGAGGAUGAGUCAUGCUCCGUGCUCUUUAACAUUAGUCACAGCCCACACCGCAACUGGCCUGACACUCACUGAAGCCCAGCCUGACCGCCACUUGUGGAGGUGGGGUGUGUGCUCUGUGUUUUAGAGGCAGCUGCUCCCCUCUCUCUCUCUCUCUCUCUCUCUCUUUAUCUAUCUAUCUAUCUAUCUGAGAGUGUAUAUGUCUGUCUAUCUCAGCCUGUCUGUAUCACAUCUGUUCCAUCUACCAUUACCUGCAUCUGUCUGUAUGCAUCACUUGUAUUUUAUGUUCCUAUAUUUAGCUUAUUUAGCUUAUUUAGCAUUUUCAGCCUGCUAUUCGUGUGCCAUGUCAGUCACUCUCUCUCGCCCUCUCUCUUCCUCAGAUACAGGAAGCAGGAGAGAGAGGACUCGAAAACCAAAACGCACGAGCAGAGCGGCCCUGAGUGAGAGAGAGAGAGAGAGAGAGAGAGAGAGUGUGUGUGAGAGAGAGAGAGAGAGAGAGAGUGAGUGAGGGAGAGAGAGAGAGAGAGGGAGAGAGAGAGAGAGAGAGUGAGGGGAACAGUGGGUGGCUGAGACGUGUAGUAGUCAUCGCAGCAGAAGUGCUGCACAAGCUGUGAGCCGAGCGAAGCCCAGCGGAGCCCAGCGGAGCCCAGCCUAUCCCGGUCGCUCGCUAGCUCACUCACUCACUCACUCACUCGCCUGCCUGCAGUUGUUCUUUGCAUAUUUUAGCAUGUGAGGGAGAGGGUGUGAGUGAGUGAGUGUGUGUGUGUGUUUGUGUGUGUGUGUGUGUGUGUGUGAGGGAGAGGGUGUGAGUGAGUGCUCUCAGUCGACCACGAGUCCUGAGUGAGGGACAGGAUGUACAUGUGACUGUGUGUGUGUGUGUGUGUGUGUGUGUGUGUGUGUGUGUGUGGGAGGGGGUGUGUGGGCGUGGGCGUCACUCCUGUGUGUGGGUUUUUGGGUGUGGGUUUGAUUAUAGGCUGCUUUGCCAAGAACUCACUGCACUCCUGUCUGACAACAACAACAACAAGCCAACGCACAGCAGAUGUGCGCGCGGCUGAUAUAACCAUACGGCUCCUGCGUCGGCCAUGUUUCCUCCCCACCCAGCCUGGCCUCCCUCACUCACCCCACUGGAUGGCCUCCGCCUCUGGCCCGGUUCUGACCCGGUUUUGACCCGGUUCUGGCCCAGGACUGCUGGACAGCGGACCCAUUCCCAUUCCAGUCAGCAUUGUGAGAGCGUUGCGAAUCAGAAGUAAUGUCGUAUGAUGUUUAUAUAUUAAUGUCUCAUGGUUUAAUUUAUUCUGUGUUGGUGUACGCCUUUGUGUUAUAGAUGUUCAUUAGAAAUGAAGGUUAAGCAGAUGUCUGUGUUAUUCCAUUUCCUCAGUCAGCAUUGGGUUCCCCCACUUCUCCUUCUCCCACAUCUCCAUGGCCAUUUCCACCACAGUCCUGCAUCAAUCAGCACUCUGAGAUCCUCCAGUGUUGCAAAACAAGCCUGGCUUGGACGUCACUCUGUGCUGGCCGCCAGUCAUCAGAACAUUAUGCAACCUGUAUCAAAAUCUAAAAGGAGGUGCUUCCUUCCUGUUGGACGAGCUGAAUUUGUAC
ensembl:lncRNA